rnacentral:tRNA from 1 species
AGGGAUGUAGCUUAAUGGUAAGUGCUUGCCUAGCAUGCAUGAGGCCCUGGGUUCCAUCUCCAGUAUCACCA